rnacentral:misc_RNA from 1 species
GUCGUUCAAUUGGAAGUCUGGUCAUUUUAGUGCUAUUGACGUAUUUAUGAAAGAGGCAUAAAAGAGAAAUGUUGCGGCGAGUGGAUAAUAAUUGAAAUGAAUAAUCCAUUUUAAGUUGUGUUACGCUGCAGGAGAAAUUAUAAUUACGAGAAAUGAAUCGGACUGCCCUAUUUUGAACUGCUACAUGCACCAGAUUUUGCUACAUGCAAUUUUUCACACCAGAUUCUGCUACAUGCAAUUGCAACACUUUAUAAGUUGUAUAAUAAUACUGCCUCCUCCUGCGGUGAUGCUUCAGCAACCACCUCAAGAGAGCAGCCACCAUCAAAACGGUCACGCUCGUCAAGACGACAACGGACCUGCGAGGGCGCUAGCAAUGCAGGAGAGGGCACAAGCCAUGAAGCUGUGGCGCAAGCGUGCAUGGAGCACCUUGAACACAUCAGAGCGAACAAGGGGGUCAUCAAAAAAGAUAACAUUGGUUUCUUCGCUCUACGUACCGAUGCACCCCUCAGAGAGCUACCAGUGCACAUUGCACAAGAUGUAAUGCAUGCAGUAGAACUUAUGCUGUAUGAAGCAGAGGCAAAAUUGCAUCAGAGCAGUGAAGCAAAUUGAAGUGUUUAUAUAUAUAAAGUCAAUGACACCCACCUUUUUUUAUCUUGUGUUCACUUUUCUAGUCCUAACUUAAAGGGGUCAUGACUGGUCACUCAACAAUUGACGGUUGUCAGCAAAAAACAAAACUACAGAGUAAAAUGUGCUAGUACACGUGUGAAAAGGGGCCUUAAGAGAUUAUUUUAGUCAAAAAUAUGCCGUAGAAGUGCUCGGCUCCUAAAACUCAACCUACCACAAGUGACCGCCAUUUUGUCAUGGCGUGCGCGACGUCACAAGCCGAAGGAGCAGUGGCAAAUGGUAUACGCAUUGCACAUUCACGAAAUUAUUUGCUGCAAGUACCAACGCUACAUUGCUGACACAGUAGCCAUGUUUCGACCCCUGGAAGUCAUUUAGCUUUAGUGGAGAGUUCAACAAUGCAAAAAAAUUUGAUUGCAAACGCAGCUGAUGACAAAACACGACCGUCUGCCAGAAUGCACACUGUGCAGCAGCUUGUCGAGCAAGCGGUUCGUGAUGUCAUGGAUAGUGAGUGCAUCAGUAUUGCCCAACUGUCAGGCGACUAGCUCGUUUAUAAAAAUAUGCGAUUAAAAAUUAGCAGCUUGACCAAAUCGCUCGAAUUUCACCAGCUUAUAUGUGAACAUACAAGAAUCAGCUCAUGCAACACACAUUAUGGUUGAAAAUUGGGUGUCAUGACCCCUUUAAGGCCACUUAUUUCUGUGAUAAUUAUAGCGAUAACCGUGCAAUAACUCAAAUAUUUUAACAUGAAUUAUUUAUUUUUGUGUUUUCAUGGUUAUAUUUGGACAUGACAGUUUUCCCUGUAAUGUAUCUGUUGUGUCACGGGUGAUUUUUUUCUUCUUUGUUUAGCUUAAGAAGAUGCUAUGUACAUAAGUUCUGUAAGCAAUAAAAUGCAUUUACAACCCACC